rnacentral:rRNA from 1 species
CAGUCGCCGCGGGAAAACAGAGGUCCCGAGCGUUGUUCGGAUUCACUGGGCGUAAAGGGUGUGUAGGAGGUUGGAUAAGUCAGGUGUGAAAUCCCACAGCUUAACUGUGGAACUGCAUUCGAUACUGUCUGACUAGAGGAUCGGAGGGGGAAGCGGAAUUCUUGGUGUAACGGUGAAAUGCGUAGAUAUCAAGAGGAACACCGGUGGCGAAGGCGGCUUCCUGGACGAUUCCUGACUCUGAAACACGAAAGCCAGGGGAGCGAAUGGGAUUAGAUACCCCGGUAGUCCCUGUCUCUUAUAA